GUCCCUUUGGGGCAUCCAAUAAAAUUGGAACAAUACAGGGAAGAUUAGCAAUGCCCCGCACAAAGAUAUACGUACUGUAUAGAUGUUUCGGACAAUUAA
rfam:Triticum aestivum genome assembly, contig: Triticum_aestivum_CS42_TGACv1_scaffold_405026_5BL